AUUUCCAUUGGAGGCACAGCCCAGCCCAGCAUGGAGCAGAAGCAGGAGGAGGCGGGGUGUUGGGUGCUGGGGAGACAGAAGGGGCAGAGGAGGAAAGACCCGCAGCAGGCAGAUCACUGGGAAGGGUAGCGGCUUGAAGCCGAGUGGGGGCGGGGGGACAGAAGGACUCAGCCUCAGGUGGACCGCCUGCAAUCAGGAGGCCUGAGGUACACUAGGGCGGUGUCGGCCACUGGGAGGAAGGGCCAGUGGCCCCAGAGCAGGUGGAGACGCCCAGAGGGGCUGGAGCAGUGCUCACAAGGUUCGUCUCUGGCACCAGCACUGCUUCCUACUCAGAGUCCAGAGGACGUGGACACCGGGUCCUGCUGACCCUCGGCUCCUGUCCCCAGCCCACCCCCAACUCAUGAUCCUGCAGCUUUGGGCACCCGGAGCUCUAUGAACCCAACUACUACAGGACGCACACCAGCUUCCAGGUCACAUGACCCAAUUAGGGCCAAGGCCCUGCUGAACUUGCUUGUUUGCUCCUGAGUUUCUGUGUUUCGAAGACAACAAUUCUAACACAUUCCCUAAGGCUCAGGUCUCUCAGGCAUCAAUCUUGGAUCAUAAUGUGAGCUUUGUUUGUCUUAAAGAUUCUUCCAGAAUCACUCAGGCACUCGUAGUCCUCAAGCUACCCUAGUUUUCCUGGGUCUAAUCCGUGUGUACCUAAUCAUGCUGAAAUGUAGAGCCUUCAAGCAAUCAGAAAUGUCUGUUGUCUCUCAGCUCCCGAGGGGAGGAAUUCUGAAUGUCUGUAGCACAUGGUUUUGGCUCAGGCCCCCUUGUGAGGCUGCAGGGCAGAGUGUCCUCCUGAUGCAGGAGCUGGCAUCCCCCAGAGAGAACGACCCAACACCAUGCCAGAAGGAGACCUGACCUGCCAGGACCUGACCUCAGAAAUCACUCACUGUCACUUCUGCAGUAGCCUAUUGACCACCAAGACGAUUCCAACUCUGGUGCCCAGGGCCCGGCUGGGGCCCAGCGGGACGGCAGGAGGAAAGAGGGAGGCCCACGCUUCUCCUCCCAAGUGGAAAAAUCAAGACCCAAGAGACACCGAAAAAAGGGAAAAAAAAAAAGGCGAUUCAGAGUCAGACCCUGAAUAUUGAAGAAGUUUCUUUUUCUUAUGGUUUCCUUUCCACGAGUGCACAAAAGAGUGAGGACAUGUGGAUAAAACGCACACACAAACGACACAAGCAAGUGCUUCUCUAAAUCCACGAGAGACGGACACCCAAAGGGGCACAGGAGAUGAGGCAGCAGCAUGUUGGUGCACAAGAUGCGAUACACCAGUGAACAGCGCACAUGAGGAGACACAUUCGGCUUUGCCAGAAAUCAAAGGAAUGAAAAUCACAACAGGAUAUCAUUUGAGCCUGUCAAUCUAGCAAAGCAGAGUAUGUGAUCCUGCAUUUGGGUCCCGGAGGGUGGGGGGGGGGACACUACUCUAGAGGACAUUACAGAGAUAAUUGGUAAAUUUUGAAUAUGACUUAGAAAAUAGUAAUGAUUUUUUAAAAGACUUUAUUUAUUUAUUCAUGAGAGACACAGAGAGAGGCAGAGACACAGGCAGAGGGAAAAGCAGACUCCCUGUCGGGAGCCCGAUGCGAGACUCCAUCCCAGGACCCCAGGGUCAUGGCCUCAACCACUGAGCCACCCGGGAGUCCCUGAAAAUAGUAGUAUAAUAGCAGGGUUACAUUGCUGAUUUUUAAAAAAAGAGAUAUUUAUUUAUUUUAGAGAGGGAGAGUGUAUAGGUGAGAGGGGCAGAGGGAGAGGGAGAGAAUCUCAAGCGGACUCUGCCCUGAGUGCAGAGCCUGAGGAAGUGGAUCUCAGGACCCUGAGGCCAUGACUUGAGCUGAAAUCAAGAAUCAGUCCUUUAAUUGACUUGAGCUCCGCCCCCAGGCACCCCGAUUGCUGAUUUUUUAUGCUCGCGUGGUUACGCAGAGGUUGUUAGGAAAUACACUGACACACUUGGGGGGUAAACAGGUCACAACGCCAGCAACUUACUCUCAAAUUGUUCAGAAAAGGGAGGUAGGAGGGGGGCACAUGGGGGAAAUGUUAACCACGCCUGGCAGAGGAGGGGCUCUUGCACAUUCUUACAGUCUCUGUGAAUUUGAACUUGUAGGUAUGCCCUGCUUUUUGAAAGUCCGCAUCGCACCACUUGUACUUGUUUUUUGCUAACCAACAGAAAGCUGAGGAGGAUUUGCACUUUAACAAAAAAUGGGGAAAAGCAAAAAUAGCGUUUAGCAUUUGUUUUGCUGCCCACAGAGCUACUCUGGGGGCAUCCCCACCUGAGCAGUAAGAGGGGCCCCUCCGCCAUGCUCCUGCCCCAGACUCUACUCAUCAUCUCAGCAUCAGGCUGCUGGCUCUGACCUGUGUCUGCGAGCACCGAGGCUCCAUCCUGAUUUACUUUGAGCAUCGUUAGCAAGAUGUGUCCUAAGGUGUCAAAAAAACCUGAGAGAGGUUAUUUUUUGGGUCUGGGAAUGCUAAAAAAAGUUUCCGUAUAAAUUAAUGGUGGAGUGCCCGGAUGGCUCCAUCAGUCAAGCAUCUGACUCUUGAUUUUGGCUCAGGUCAUGGUCUCAGGGUCAUGAGAUUGGGCCCUGUGUUGGACUCUGCUCUGGGCAUAGAACCUGCUUAAGAUCCUCUCUCUCUCUCUCUGUCCCUCUGCCCCUCCCAUUCCAUCCUCUAAAAAUAAAGAAAUAAACAAAAGAAAAGAAUUAGUGGUAAUUACUUCUCUGCUUUACACCAUCGCAGCUUACCAAAGGUUGCAUAGCCUU